CAACUACAAAAGAGAGAGCCUUUUCGUGGUGUAGUUGAUAAGUAAGUCGAAAGACUGAAACUAAUACUCUC
rnacentral:ribozyme from 1 species